CUCAUCGAUGCUGAAAUUCUAGAUCUAACUAUUAGAUCUACCAUAGGAAUCAAAAUAAAUUAGAGAUCAUUACCAAACAAAUUUUGAUCUUGAUCUUCUCUGAUCCAAUGAUUGGAGAGGGUGUUCCUCAGAUAGCUCACAGCCACAUAAAGUUGUCUGGCCUCUAUAAAAAAAUUCAUGCAAAGACUGACACAGUUCAGGGGCUCGGAGAUGCUAGUCUAUGAAUAACUUCGACAGCUGACCUCUUUCUUUUUCUACAAGCACCUUAGAUACUCCAAAGUGAUAGGAGAUCUGGAGGAGAAAGAG
rnacentral:lncRNA from 1 species